CCUAGUUAGGAUUAGGCUAGAGAAAUUUAGACUUUCGUGGCACUUAUUUCCCGGCGAUUCCACAAUCCUUACCGUAGUGUAUAUGAUCCUUUGAAAAACAAUAGGAAAGGACCGCGAUUGAAAAUCGACAUUAAAAGAAAAAGAUAAUCAAUACAGGAGGGGGGAAAAACGAGCGCCUUAUUUUGAUUUAAGUUUUCACUUCCCGCUGAACUUUUUAGUCUACCGUCGCGGUGUCGCCUCACUCUCCCAUAUCCUCUUUUCCAGUUCAAACUUUUAGGGUUUGCAGUUGAAAAUGGAGAACGUGAAAUCGGCAAUGGAAGAGCCCAUAAUCAAAUAGAAAAUCUUGUUCAGAAGUUGUCCGCUGAGCUUCAUUCUGGUUUCGCACGUAUUUGCGAAAAUUUAUGGGUUUCUUCCACGCCAUUGAUUGGAAGGUGCUACGCGCGAUUAUUGACCUACAUAUUUUCAGUGUUUUGAGGAAAUAUAUGGUUUGGCAGAUAGGAUUGGUCUGAGAGUUCCAGAUAUUGUUGGAUUUGUUAAUAAUUUUAAUAGUGUUUGCUUUCUAAUUAAAGAGACCCAAAACAUAUCAGGUACAUAUACAUUACUUGAAUGGUGCCUUCAUCAUAUAUACACACGGAUUUGUUGAUAAUUAGAAUAGAGUUUUCUUUCUAAUUAAAAGGGACCCAAAACAUAUCAGGUAUAUAACCAUUACUGGAAUGGUGCCUUCAUACACACACACACACACACAUAGAAAACAUGGAUUUGUAAAUGCAUUAUUCUCAAGAUCGUCAUUGCUAUAAGCCUAUAUGCAACGAAUUAGUCAAUAUUUCAAAAAAUCAGUACGUGAAUCACCAAUAUUUGUGCGUUCGAUAAUAUUUUGAUGAUACACAUUUAUGACAAUACCUGGUUUGUAAACCUCUCGUUACUAAUGUGGUGUUGCAAUAUUUUUGCUACUUUUUUGUACUUACAGUUGCGUCUGCUAAUGAUUUCACUAGCUAGCCACUAUAAUGAUUUAUAGUGGGGGUACAGUGCUCCCACGGAUGGGAGUUGGUACUGGAAAAAGAUAUCUUCAGUCAAGGGUAUUAUCACGCGAUACUAUUCUGCCACUAAGUUCAGUUCUAUGCGGCAGUACUCUGUAAAGGCAGUUUAUCAAAAGAUGACACCAGGCCAACACAGAGUUCUUUGGGAUAACAUCAUUUGGUGCAGUUGAGAAUGAGACCCACGAGCAUACGUUUUUCUGUACAGUAGGCAAUGUUGGACAACGAUCAAAUCUUGGUGUGGCAUAACAACUAAACGCCGUAACAUCAAGGGCAUAGUUAGAUGGAUUGCCAGGUGCAAGGUAAGUAAAUUAGAAGAGUGUAUUUUCUACAAUUCUUUGUUCUAGCAUCUAUCAUAUUUGGAUUGAAAGGAACAAUUCAGUUUGGAAUCAACAGCUGCUUAUGCCUCAAAUUUUGAUUUCUCAGAUUCAAAGGGUUGUUAGAAACAGAAUCAUAAAUGUAAUGCCUAGGAACUUUAGUGCUAGUGAUUUGAGUUGGUUUGAUAACGUGAUGUAAAUUGUAGAUUUAAACAAUUUCAACAUCAUAAAGCUCGUGAAAGACAAAAGCAGAAACGCAGAAUGUGUUAUACUGAUUUCGACAUCAUAAAGCUCGUGAAAGACAAAAGCAAAAACGCAACAGCCUUGGCCUUUGUCACAAUCCUAGAACACCUACGGCUGCUACUACUCAAGUUGACACCUCCAUUACCUUAACUCUAGAUACUAAGGUAUGUAUACAUAUAACGUGUACUUAUAUACUCUUUGUUCGGAAUGUUGGGUGUAGGAGGUGCGAUUGCGUUCUUGGUGUUUGCUUUUCUUCUAGGCUCGUUUCUAUGGUGUUCUUGGCAUGGGUACUUGAUUUCUUGACGGUUUUCAUGGUGGGAAAUCUUAUGGAGGUUCUUUAGUUAUUAUUGGAGGUUGUGUAUGAGCUAUAAAUUCAAGAUAACUCUUUAUUUGGCAAAUGUACGGUGAAGUCGGACUUAUUUGGGGAAGCACAUGACGCUAUCGACUUAUACUAUAUUAGUUGUUUCGUUGUUGCAUUGUAGUAGUAGUUAAUUAGUUAUUUAUCUUGUCAUGUACGGAUUAUUAGAUAACAUUUUGUUAAGUUUUUAAGACUAUUAGACAAUUAUAUAUUACCUAUGUAAUGACUUAUUACUUACUCGGUAUGAAUUAUUUAUUUAUAGUAUUGUUUUUAUCUUAUAA